CCCUUAGAUGAUCUGGGCUGCACACGCGCUACAAUGGGCGCGUCAGCGAGCGUAUCCGGGCCCGGAAGGGUUCGGGAAUCAUGAGACGUGUCCGUGGUUGGGAUAGAGGAUUGUAAUUAUUGCUCUUGAACGAGGAAUUCCUUGUAAGCGCGAGUCAUCAGCUCGCGCUGAAUACGUCCCUGCCCUUUGUACACACCGCCCGUCGCUCCCUCCGAUUGGGUGUUUUGGUGAAAAGUUAGAUCGGUGAACCUGAGCACCUAGAGGAAGGAGAAGUCGUAACA
rnacentral:rRNA from 1 species